GACAGAGGGUGCAAACGUUGUUCGGAAUUACUGGGCGUAAAGAGUGUGUAGGCGGUGCUCUAAGUUCGGUGUGAAAUCUCCCGCUUAACUGGGAGGGUGCGCCGGAAACUGGAGUGCUCGAACGUGGGAGAGGAAAGCGGAAUUCCUGGUGUAGCGGUGAAAUGCGUAGAUAUCAGGAGGAACACCUGUGGUGUAGACGGCUUUCUGGACCAUAGCUGACGCUGAGACACGAAAGCGUGGGUAGCAAACAGG
rnacentral:rRNA from 1 species